rnacentral:rRNA from 1 species
GCAUAUCAAUAAGCGGAGGAAAAGAAACCAACAGGGAUUGCCUCAGUAACGGCGAGUGAAGCGGCAACAGCUCAAAUUUGAAAUCUGGCCUCACGGUCCGAGUUGUAAUUUGUAGAGGAUGCUUUUGGCGAGGUGCUUUCCGAGUUCCCUGGAACGGGACGCCAUAGAGGGUGAGAGCCCCGUACGGUAAGACCACCGAGCCUCUGUAAAGCUCCUUCGACGAGUCGAGUAGUUUGGGAAUGCUGCUCUAAAUGGGAGGUGUACGUCUUCUAAAGCUAAAUACCGGCCAGAGACCGAUAGCGCACAAGUAGAGUGAUCGAAAGAUGAAAAGCACUUUGAAAAGAGGGUUAAAAAGUACGUGAAAUUGUUGAAAGGGAAGCAUUCAUGACCAGACUUGGGCUUGGUUGAACAUCCGGCGUUCUCGCCGGUGCACUCUGCCAGUCCAGGCCAGCAUCAGUUUGCCCCGGGGGACAAAGGCGGUGGGAAUGUGGCUCCCUUCGGGGAGUGUUAUAGCCCGCCGUGUAAUGCCCUGGGGCGGACUGAGGAACGCGCUUCGGCACGGAUGCUGGCGUAAUGGUCAUCAAUGACCCGUCUUGAAACACGGACC